rnacentral:rRNA from 1 species
GCGGAGGAAAAGAAACCAACAGGGAUUGCCUCAGUAACGGCGAGUGAAGCGGCAAAAGCUCAAAUUUGAAAUCUAGCACCUUCGGUGUUCGAGUUGUAAUUUGAAGAUGGUAACCUUGGGUUUGGCUCUUGUCUAUGUUCCUUGGAACAGGACGUCAUAGAGGGUGAGAAUCCCGUCUGAUGAGAUGCCCAUUCCUAUGUAAGGUGCUAUCGAAGAGUCGAGUUGUUUGGGAAUGCAGCUCUAAGUGGGUGGUAAAUUCCAUCUAAAGCUAAAUAUUGGCGAGAGACCGAUAGCGAACAAGUACAGUGAUGGAAAGAUGAAAAGAACUUUGAAAAGAGAGUGAAAAAGUACGUGAAAUUGUUGAAAGGGAAGGGCAUUAGAUCAGACUUGGUGUUUUACGAUUAUCUUCUCUUCUUGAGUUGUGCACUCGUAUUUCACUGGGCCAGCAUCGAUUCGGAUGGCAAGAUAAUGGCAGUUGAAUGUGGCUUCACUUCGGUGGAGUGUUAUAGCUUCUGCUGAUAUUGCCUGUCUGGAUCGAGGGCUGCGUCUUUUGACUAGGAUGCUG